AUUUUCUCAGUCUUGGGUAGUUUUUGUGUAGUUUUCUGUAAUCCAACUGCUGGGUUACUGGCUGUCUCAUUUUCACUGACAGUUGAAUCAAUGCAACCGUCCCCCACCCUGACGCAUCAACCCAGCUCCUUGGGUCAGUUCAUCUCAGUUUGAAUUUGCCUCAGGUGGUUUUCACACGGACAGACUGUUAGAUUUAUUUGGAGAAACGCAAUCAGAAAGGAAAGGAUCCUACACACUUUUUGAGUUAUUACUAUUUCAACACGUGUUAAAUUAUCCAAUAGUUGUGUUAAAAAAGAAUUUUUUUUAAAAUUUUUUUUUACAAAAGUGAUUGUGGGGUCUUGAGGCAAGGAAACCAAAUGACCACAGCUUUUCAAAUGGAACGGAGUGGAACUUCUAUCUUCCCAGAUUGCAAGGAGAUUUGUAAGAAGAUGCCUCAACUCCAAUUCUUACAUCUGUCAAGGGUUUAAAUGACUUUAACAAAUGUCACCUGAAUUUCAUGCAAUUGUUUGUUUAUUUUGUGAGUAUUUUAGUAGAAUUUUAGCAUACAAACAAAUUGCAUUUUAGGAUAAUUGUAGAGAAAAAAUAUAUAAACAACACAUCUGUUACUUUGUAUUGCAUCUUCGUGUGGAAAUGUACUAACACACUGAUUGUGUUAAAAGCAACACAAAAUGUGUUGUCCUUAACUAGACACGCAGGUGUGUUCAAAAUUAAUAUGGCGUUAUUUUAACACAUCUAUUUUAAGAGUUCAUAUCAGGUAUUUCAUGUAUUUUCUGCUCCUAGCAAGUUCAGGUAUUUCAUGUGUUCCAGCUCAAGCACACCUGGUGCAAUUGUUGAAGCCCUUGAUUAGUUGCAUCAGGUGUGCUUGAGACAACACCUGUUUUGCAUAUUAGUGCUGUUGUGAUGGAUUCUAUUCAGGCGGUUGAAUAAUUUUUAAACUGGAGAAAUCAUUAUAAGUUGCUUUUUCAGUUGAAUUUGGGGAAACCACUUGAAUCAUUCAUUGUGUUGAAAUAUUUCAAUUGCUUUUGUUUGAUUUGUUCAUUGCAAACAGCUGACAGUAUGUAAAUUUUGACAGUAAACCUGAUUUGCAAUGGAGGUUGAAUAAUUUUGAUUGCAACUGUAUCUAACUAGUUGUCAACUGGUCUUUCU
ensembl:lncRNA